ACACCGGCGGCUCGAGUGGUAACCGUUAUUAUUGGGUCUAAAGGGUCUGUAGCCGGCCGGAUAAGUCUCUUGAGAAAUCUGGCAGCUUAACUGUCAGGCUUUCAGGAGAUACUGUCUGGCUCGAGGCCGGGAGAGGUGAGAGGUACUUCAGGGGUAGGGGUGAAAUCUUGUAAUCCUUGAAGGACCACCAGUGGCGAAGGCGUCUCACCAGAACGGUCCUGACGGCAAGGGACGAAAGCUAGGGGCACGAACCGGAUUAGAUCCCCGGGUAGUCCUAGCCGUAAACGAUACUCGCUAGGUGUCGGCCACGGUGCGACCGUUGUCGGUGCCGUAGGGAAGCCGUGAAGCGAGCCACCUGGGAAGUACGGCCGCAAGGCUGAAACUUAAAGGAAUUGGCGGGG
rnacentral:rRNA from 1 species